rnacentral:rRNA from 1 species
CACGUAGGGUCCGAGCGUUGUCCGGAAUUACUGGGCGUAAAGCGCGCGCAGGCGGUUAGUCGCAUCGGCGGUGAAAGCCCCCCGCUUAACGGGGGAGGGUCCGUCGAGAUGGACUGACUGGAGGCAGGGAGAGGGCGGUGGAAUUCCGGGUGUAGUGGUGAAAUGCGUAGAGAUCCGGAGGAACACCAGUGGCGAAGGCGGCCGCCUGGACCUGACCUGACGCUGAGGAGGCGAAAGCGUGGGGAGCGAACGGGG